CUUAUUGCCCUGGCUAUAAUUUCAUGUGCUAUAUUGAAUAAGAGCACUAAGACUAGACAUUCUUGUCUCAUUCCUGAUUUUUGAGGCUCUGUUUUUAGUUUUUCCCAUUCAGUGUGAUCAUAGUUGUGGGUUUAGCAUAUAUAGAUUCUAUUAUAGUCAAAUAGGUUUCUAUAUCUUUUCUUUUUUACCUACCACUGUAAUAUUUGAUACUAAGUUUUAUUCUUUGAGAGCUUCAUAGAGUCUACAAUGAAAUGUGAUCAUAUCUAUCUCCCAUUUGCUCCCCCCAAGUCCCUCUGGGCCUCCCUGUAAUGACCACCUCUAUUCUUUUAAUAUUCCACUGAGUCAAAUUAGUGCUGCUCAUAUGUGAACAAUUGGGGUUAUGAGGUCAUCCAAUGGAACAUAGGUGACACCCUCAAGAACAAUGACUCUCCCUCCUCUGGUAGCUAUCAAUUGCCAAUAGCUCUUCAGUAAAGGGUGAGGCCUUUUAAGUUCCUCCCUCAUCUAUGCUGGAAGUUUGGAUUCCUUAUUCUUGUACAGGUCUUAUGCCAGUAACCAUAGCUCCUGUGAAUUCAUGAGUGCCAUAUUCUUGUCACAUCCAGAAAACAGCACUUCUAGCAACCCUCUCCAUCCUCCAGUUCUUAAAUUCCUCUGCCUUUUCUUUUGGAAUGUUCCCUGAACUUGGGAGAAUGAUGUCACUCACUGAUACUAUUUUGGAGCCUAUCUAUUCCUUCUGUUCCUUAGUGUCUCAUGAACCUGAGAGACACGAAGUUUAAUGUAUCACAAAAUGGAGUAUUUCUUCUAUGUCAGGCAGUUGCAAAUCCCUCACCAGUCCCUCCUAGAGUUGGACAGCAGUUGCUCCUGCAGUGGGGAGAGACAUGUACCUGCAUGUCAAAGGAGCCCCUUUCUCCGGUCAUGGGAGAUAAUGCCAACAAAUAAUGCAAUGGAGAUAUGCUUGAAAUCGUGUCUCCUGUUUCUGCUGUCCCAAUGAGAAGAUGGACAGCAUUUAGAACGUUUUCUGAAGAACAGAAGAAAGGCUCAAUCCUCUUCUACACAUUACAAGCAACAGCCUUCCUCUACCAGUCAUAACAACAAAGUCUUCUGGAGUGGUAUGAGUUAUUGUUCUAUGUUUAGCAAAAACAAAUAAAGCUUUAUUUAA
rnacentral:sRNA from 1 species